GAUUUUUUUUUUCCCAGGGACAAAAACAACACCAACUUUCCCUCCCUAAGAGCUUCUUAUUGUUCAUUUUCGUUGCUAUUUGGAGAAAAAGCUCAUUAAAAUAUUAUGAAGCGCAUAGCAUAAUUACGUGCCAGCCUUUGCCAAUGAGGAACAUCUGUAGCACAGUGAGGGGUCAUGCAUUCUGGAAAAUAAUGCAGAGUGGUACAGGCUGAAGCGGAGCGGAGAGGACACUGUUUCAAGAUUCCUGCGCCAGCUCCUUCGUUGUUAUAGAAGUUGGACUAAAUAAAAGGGUAAUCACAAGCGUACAGAUAACAGGCAGGCAGGAAUGUGAAAAUC
rnacentral:lncRNA from 1 species